UGUCUGAGCCAUGCAGGGAGAGGAGGAAGGCGCCAGCCAACCCACCUUCUGCACCAGAAGGUGCUCUUGUACGUAGUCGGCCACCGCAUCCCAGACGGCAACUCGCUCUGGAGGGCAAAGAAAAGCAGGUCACACUCUGCAUCUGCCGCUUCCCGGCACCGCUACCGCUGCCAGGCGGGAGUGAGGUGGCAGAUGGGAAGUGUCGUCUCCGUCCCGAGCUUGGCUGCAGCAGCCGUGCUGUGGUGGCUCUGGACCCGUGUACCUUGGGUGUCGGUGCAUGUGGGUCUGGAGGCACACCGCGCUGCGGGGCCAUCCUUGCAGAAGCUCAUCC
rnacentral:lncRNA from 1 species